rnacentral:rRNA from 1 species
GAUGAACGCUGGCGGCGUGCUUAACACAUGCAAGUCGAGCGAAGCACUUUACUUGGAUUUCUUCGGAAUGAUGAGUUUUGUGACUGAGCGGCGGACGGGUGAGUAACGCGUGGGUAACCUGCCUCAUACAGGGGGAUAGCAGUUAGAAAUGACUGCUAAUACCGCAUAAGACAACAGCACCGCAUGGUGCAGGGGUAAAAACUCCGGUGGUAUGAGAUGGACCCGCGUCUGAUUAGCUAGUUGGGGGGGUAACGGCCUACCAAGGCAACGAUCGAUAACCGGCCUGAGAGGGCGAACGGCCACAGUGGGACUCAGACACGGCCCAAAAUCCUACGGGAUGCAGCAGUGGGGAAUAGUGCACAAUGGGGGAAAACCUGCUGCAGCGACGCCGCGUGAAGGAAGAAGUAUUUCGGUAUGUAAACUUCUAUCAGCAGGGAAGAAAAUGACGGUACCUGACUAAGAAGCCCCGGCUAACUACGUACCAGCAGCCGCAGUAA